AUGACCCUGCUGGAGUCCGUGAGGGACCUCCAGCCCCCCGGGGGGUCCCUGCGCCUCCUCUGCCGAGGGUCCGGCUUCAGUUUCGGGAGCUAUGCCAUGCAAUGGAUCCGCCAGAGACCUGGGCAGGCGCUGGAAUUCGUCGCGUACAUCAGCAGCACUGGUGGCAGCACCUACUACGCGCCGUCGUUGAAGGGCCGGGUGACGAUCUCCAGGGACAACGGGCAGAGCUCGGUGACGCUGACCAUGAACAGCCUCAAGGACGAGGAUUCCGGAUCCUAUUUCUGUGCCAAAAAUUGGGAUGGUUGUUGUGCUCCUGCUGCUGCUGAUGAUAUUGCUUAUGGUGAUCAAUAG